GAUGAACGCUGACAGAAUGCUUAACACAUGCAAGUCUUUGGCGAAGCUGUGCUUGCACAGCCUAGCCAAGGCGGACGGGUGAGUAACGCGUAAGGAACUUGCCCUGCAGUCAGGGAUAACAGACGGAAACGACUGAUAAGACCUGGUAAAGUCAGGCGGACUCAUGUCCAGCCUGAUGAAAAGAGAUGCUGCAGGAGAGCCUUGCGUUCUAUUAGCUUGUUGGUGGGGUAACGGCCCACCAAGGCGAUGAUAGGUAGCCGGCCUGAGAGGGUGGACGGCCACAAGGGGACUGAGAUACGGCCCUUACUCCUACGGGAGGCAGCAGUGGGGAAUAUUGGACAAUGGGGGCAACCCUGAUCCAGCAAUUCUGUGUGCACGAUGAAGGUUUUCGGAUUGUAAAGUGCUUUCAGCAGGGAAGAAAAAAAUGACGGUACCUGCAGAAGAAGCGACGGCUAAAUACGUG
rnacentral:rRNA from 1 species